CCUACGGGGGGCAGCAGUGAGGAAUAUUGGUCAAUGGACGAGAGUCUGAACCAGCCAAGUAGCGUGAAGGAUGACUGCCCUAUGGGUUGUAAACUUCUUUUAUAUGGGAGUAAAAUGUUCCACGUGUGGGAUUUUGUAUGUACCAUAUGAAUAAGGAUCGGCUAACUCCGUGCCAGCAGCCGCGGUAAUACGGAGGAUCCGAGCGUUAUCCGGAUUUAUUGGGUUUAAAGGGAGCGUAGGUGGAUUGUUAAGUCAGUUGUGAAAGUUUGCGGCUCAACCGUAAAAUUGCAGUUGAAACUGGCAGUCUUGAGUACAGUAGAGGUGGGCGGAAUGCGUGGUGUAGCGGUGAAAUGCUUAGAUAUCACGAAGAACUCCGAUUGCGAAGGCAGUUCACUGGACUGCAACUGACACUGAGGCUCGAAAGUGUGGGUAUCAAACAGGAUUAGAUACCCUAGUAGUC
rnacentral:rRNA from 1 species